GCCGGCAGCUAGUUCUUUGCAACUCUCACAUGGUUGCCCAUUGAAGCAAGGCAGGGCUGUGCCCGGUCAGUACCUGGAUGGGAAACCACAUGGGAAAGCUGGGUUGCUGCUGGAA
ensembl:rRNA 5S_rRNA 5S ribosomal RNA